rnacentral:rRNA from 1 species
UACGAAGGGGGCUAGCGUUGCUCGGAAUCACUGGGCGUAAAGGGUGCGUAGGCGGGUCUUUAAGUCAGGGGUGAAAUCCUGGAGCUCAACUCCAGAACUGCCUUUGGUACUGAAGAUCUUGAGUUCGGGAGAGGUGAGUGGAACUGCGAGUGUAGAGGUGAAAUUCGUAGAUAUUCGCAAGAACACCAGUGGCGAAGGCGGCUCACUGGCCCGAUACUGACGCUGAGGCACGAAAGCGUGGGGAGCAAACAGGG